ACAACAGCAUUUGGACCGUCGGUCUACCGAGCAAUAUCACCCGUUCGGUGGAAGAUCUUUCCUUUCUCCGUCGUUAAAC
rnacentral:pre_miRNA from 1 species